rnacentral:ncRNA from 2 species
CAGGGUCAGGGUCUGCGCGUAAAGUGCUCUGCGGCUGGGGAAUGCCAAGGGGACGAAAAGCCUUGCGCUUGCGGUGCAGCCUCUGCUUCCCACUGC